AACUCUAGUCAAAGGACUAUUUCACAAAACCAAGAUAAGGGAUUAAGCCGGGAUUUCCCAGUUAUCCUGGCUCAAUUUAGCCAUGACUCGGUUUCACAAAAGCACCCAAGUUACCAUGGAGAUUUGUUCUGAACAGCUAGCCUGCUCCCGACCAGGCUAGGAUUUAGUUAUCCUGGAGCCUAUUCUGUUCACUCAGCAAGGCUUUUACCAUAUUGUUAUCAACCUGCAUUAAAAAAACAACAACAGGUGCAUAUUGCUGUUCAUUAUUAUUUAAAGUUGUGACCAUUAUUUUUUAUAAUUAUUCAUGUGACAUUGUUACUGUUGUAUUGCUGUAUGAAGACUGCUAUUCAUAUUGUUGAAUGCAGUUUGCUGAAUAUAUUAUUGCA